GUUCAUAAGUCUUUGUAAUAAUCGCUUUGUUUAAAAAACCCUUCUCCCAUGCCAAAAGGAGAAGUGAUGACAUUGUUGGCAACAUUUUGUGCAAUGAUAUUUUCAUUCAAAUAAACUCAUGUUAAACAUUUGUUUUUCCAUUUGUUUUCCCUUUUCGCUUUUUGCGUGAAAUUGGUGAUCACAAAAAACCUUAAAAAACAAGAAUAAAAGCAAUCUUCUCAUCUGCAUAACGAUUGUCUUGUUUGAUUUUCAAAAAGCUUUUCAUAUCAAAAUCUUUAUGCAGGUUGUUUCUCAAACCCAUUGAACAUAAUGAUCGGACGCCAUCUCCCAAUUUUGAAUUCCCUGUAUUCGAAGCGGACGAAGAUGAUGUUGAAGGGAUUCCUGACGAGAUUUCCCGACUUCUUGAGCAAGAAAAGAAGAUCACUCAGCUGCAUCUCGAGAAUCAGCAAGAUGAUGUUGAAGGGAUUCCUGACGAGAUUUCCCGACUUCUUGAGCAAGAAAAGAAGAUCACUCAGCUGCAUCUCGAGAAUCAGCAGAACAGCCAACUGGGGCAUUAUAAAAAAAAAGAGAAAAAAAGAGAAAGAGGAAGGUGCAAAAUCAAAAAAAAAAAAAGGAAAUCAAUGAAAAUCAAAAGAAAUCAAAAGAAAGAAAAAGAAAAAAAAAACAAAAGAAAGAUAGCAC
rnacentral:lncRNA from 1 species